ACGAACGCUGGCGGCAUGCCUAACACCUGCACGUCGAACGAGACCUUCGGGUCUAGUGGCGCACGGGUGCGUAACGCGUGGGAACCUGCCCUUAGGUUCGGAAUAACUCCCCGAAAGGGGUGCUAAUACCGGAUAAUGUCUUCGGACCAAAGAUUUAUCGCCUUUGGAUGGGCCCGCGUUGGAUUAGCUAGUUGGUAGGGUAAAAGCCUACCAAGGCGACGAUCCAUAGCUGGUCUGAGAGGAUGAUCAGCCACACUGGGACUGAGACACGGCCCAGACUCCUACGGGAGGCAGCAGUGGGGAAUAUUGGACAAUGGGCGAAAGCCUGAUCCAGCAAUGCCGCGUGAGUGAUGAAGGCCUUAGGGUUGUAAAGCUCUUUUACCCGGGAUGAUAAUGACAGUACCGGGAGAAUAAGCUCCGGCUAACUCCGUG
rnacentral:rRNA from 1 species